AACCCAUGUUGUGAACACUUCUACAAGAGAUCCUUGAAUCAUUCCCAUGUCUUAAAUAAUGAUUCUAGCUCUAUCUGAACAAACGAAGAGAUCUUAUUUUGAAGAU